CCAGCUCUGGCUAGCCCGUAGAGUAUGCUCGUCGAGCAGAAUAGGUAUUAAGCAGCGUGUGCUCUUAUGAAGUUAGCGGCGGACGGGUGAGUAACACGUGGGUAACCUGCCCAUAAGACUGGGAUAACUCCGGGAAACCGGGGCUAAUACCGGAUAACAUUUUGAACCGCAUGGUUCGAAAUUGAAAGGCGGCUUCGGCUGUCACUUAUGGAUGGACCCGCGUCGCAUUAGCUAGUUGGUGAGGUAACGGCUCACCAAGGCAACGAUGCGUAGCCGACCUGAGAGGGUGAUCGGCCACACUGGGACUGAGACACGGCCCAGACUCCUACGGGAGGCAGCAGUAGGGAAUCUUCCGCAAUGGACGAAAGUCUGACGGAGCAACGCCGCGUGAGUGAUGAAGGCUUUCGGGUCGUAAAACUCUGUUGUUAGGGAAGAACAAGUGCUAGUUGAAUAAGCUGGCACCUUGACGGUACCUAACCAGAAAGCCACGGCUAACUACGUGCCAGCAGCCGCGGUAAUACGUAGGUGGCAAGCGUUAUCCGGAAUUAUUGGGCGUAAAAGCGCGGCGGCCAGGUGGUUUUCUUAAGUCUUGAUGUUGAAAGCCCAACGGGCUCCAACCGUGGGAGGGGUUCAAUUGGAAACUGGGAGGACUUGAGUGGCAGGAAGAGGGGAAAGUUGGAAUUCCAUGUGGAGCCGGUGAAAUGCGGAAAGAAAAGGAGGAACACCAGUUGGCGAAGGCGACUUUCUGGUUCUGUAACUGACCACUGAGGCGCGAAAGCCUGGGGAGCAAACAGGAUUAGAUACCCUUGGAAGUCCACGCCGUUAACGAUGAAUGCUAAGUGUUAGAAGGUUUCCGGCCCUUUAGUUGCUGAAGGUUAACGCAUUUAAGCACUCCGCCUGGGGAGUAACGGCCGCAAGGCUGAAAAUCCAAAGGAAUGGACAGGGGCCCGCACCAACGGUGGGAGCAUGGUGGGUUAAUUCGGAAGCAACGCGAAGAACCCUAACCAGGUCUUGACAUCCUCUGACAACCCCAAAAAUAAGGGUUUUCCUUUGGGAGGAGAAUGACCGGUGGUGCAUUGUUGUUGUCAACCCGGGUUCUGAGGUGGUGGGUUAAAUCCCGCAACCAGCGCCACCCCUUAUUUUUGUUUCCAUCCUUUAAUUGGGCCAUUUUAGGUGAACGCCGGUGACAAACCGGAGGAAGGGGGGGAUGAAGUCAAAUUCUCCUGCCCCCUUUGACCUUGGGUACCCCCCUGCCUCCAUGGGCGGUACAAAAAAGCGCAAGGCCCCGAGGGGGAAGUUAUUUUAUAAAACCCUUUUCCAUUUGGAUUGUUGGGUGCAAAUUGCCUACCUGAAAGCGGGAACGGUUGUUAACGGGGAUUAGCCAGGCGCGGGGAAUAAGUUCCCGGGCCUUGUACCCCCCCCCCGGCACCCCCCGAGAAGGUAGCACCUCCGAAUUUCGGGGGGCACCAUGUGGAGCCAGCGUACCUGAGAGUAUAGAACCG
rnacentral:rRNA from 1 species